UACGUAGGGGGCAAGCGUUGUCCGGAAUCAUUGGGCGUAAAGAGCGUGUAGGUGGCUCGGUAAGUCCGCUGUGAAAGUCCAGGGCUCAACCCUGGAAAGCCGGUGGAAACUGUCGAGCUCGAGUCCGGAAGAGGCGAGUGGAAUUCCUGGUGUAGCGGUGAAACGCGCAGAUAUCAGGAGGAACACCAAUGGCGAAGGCAGCUCGCUGGGACGGUACUGACACUGAGACGCGAAAGCGUGGGGAGCAAACAGG
rnacentral:rRNA from 1 species